UAUAGAAUUUUAUAUUAACUUUACCUAGCGGUUAAUGCUGGUUUUUUGUUAAUAUUUGGUUGGGAGGAUUAUUAAAUUUAACAAACUUUAUAUCAUUAUAAACUUUGAUUUAAGAAAAUAUAAUGAUCUUCAAUUUGAAAUAGUUAGAGUAAAUUACCUUAGGGAUAACAGCGUAAUAUUUUUUUAUAGACCUUAUAGAAAAAAAUGGUUGCGACCUCGAUGUUGAAUUAAGAUAAAUUUUAAAUGCAGGAGUUUAAUAAUUAAGUCUGUUC
rnacentral:rRNA from 1 species